rnacentral:rRNA from 1 species
AGUGAACGCUGGCGGUAGGCCUAACACAUGCAAGUCGAACGGCAGCACAGUAAGAGCUUGCUCUUACGGGAGGCGCGCGGCGGACGGGUGAGGAAUACACCGGAAUCUACUUUUUCGUGGGGGCUAACGUCGGGAAACUUACGCUAAUACCGCAUACGACCUCCGGGUGAAAGCAGGGGAUCUUCGGACCUUGCGCGAGUGAAUGAGCCGCUGUCGGAUUAGCUAGUUGGCGGGGUAUAGGCGGACCAAGGCGACGAUCCGAAGCUGGUCUGAGAGGAUGAUCAGGCACACUGUAAGUGAGACACGUUCGAGACUCCUACACGGAGCAGCGGUGGGGAAUAUUGGACGAUGGGCGCGAGCCUGAUCCAGCCAUACCGCGUAGGUGAAGAAGGCCUUCUGGUGGGAGAGUCCUGUUGGUGUGAGAGAAGAGCAGCUGUUUAAUACCCCGCUGUACUGACGGUACCCAAAGAAUAAGCACCGGCUAACUUCGUG